UGUGCUUCUGGUGCUGCCCCAGGAUCAAUCGUGGCGAAGCUCCUUUUGCAGUGCAUUGUUCACCUUACAAACGCUGGUGUUGUUGUUGACGCAGUGACCUGCGACAACUCCACAUCAAACCAAUCAGCCUUGAGAUCUCUGGGUGUCAACGGGGACAUGCACAAGCUUCAAACGUGUUUUGAACACCCGUGUGAGCCCUCAAAGCAAGUCCACGUUGUAAUUGAUCCACCGCACAUAUUUAAGUGCAUCAGAAACAACUUGCUCAAAGUGGGCAAGUUUUUGCUCCCUCAAGGACAGGAGGUGUUCCACUGUCACUACAAGGACUUACUGGACUAUGAAGAAGAACAGGCUGG